rnacentral:rRNA from 1 species
GAUGAACGCUGGCGGCGUGCCUAACACAUGCAAGUCGAACGAACCUGAUCUUCAGAAAAGGUUAGUGGCGCACGGGUGAGUAACACGUAGGUGACCUGCCCUGGAGCGGGGGAUAACUUCUCGAAAGAGAGGCUAAUACCGCAUACGCUCGGCCAUUCAGUUGGUCGAGUAAAGCUCCGGCGCUGCAGGAGGGGCCUGCGUCCGAUUAGCUAGUUGGUGAGGUAAUGGCUCACCAAGGCGAUGAUCGGUAGCUGGUCUGAGAGGACGAUCAGCCACACUGGCACUGACACACGGGCCAGACUCCUACGGGAGGCAGCAGUGAGGAAUAUUGGUCAAUGGGCGAAAGCCUGAACCAGCAACGCCGCGUGAGGGAUGAAGGCCUUCGGGUCGUAAACCUCUUUUCUGGGAGAAGAGACAAGGACGGUAUCCCAGGAAUAAGUCUCGGCUAACUACGUGCCAGCCGCCGCAGUAAAAC